rnacentral:rRNA from 1 species
AAUAUUGGACAAUGGGCGCAAGCCUGAUCCAGCCAUGCCGUGUGAGUGAAGAAGGCCUUCGGGUUGUAAAGCACUUUCGGAAGACAAGAAAUCGCGCAGGCUAAUACCCUGCGCGGAUGACGGUACCGUCAUAAGACGCUCCGGCUACCUACGUGCCAGAAUCCGCGGUAAUAUUUAGGGUGCGAGCGUUAAUCGGAAUUACUGGGCGUAAAGCGAGCGCAGGCGGUUGAUUAAGACAGGCGUGAAAUCCCCGGGCUUAACCUGGGAACUGCGCUUGUGACUGGUCAGCUAGAGUAAGGCAGAGGGGGAUGGAAUUCCACGUGUAGCAGUGAAAUGCGUAGAGAUGUGGAGGAACACCGAUGGCGAAGGCAGCCCCCUGGGCCGAUACUGACGCUCAUGCACGAAAGCGUGGGUAGCAAACAGG